GUGCGCCCACUAAUUAUGAAAAGAGAUGUUCAUUUUUACUUCUCUUCACAGAAACAAUUUCAUAUUAAAUGUUUUAAAUCACCCAGGCUAUAGGAGUUUUACUGAGAGACAAGGAUAAAAGAAUAUUGUGUAUUGGGAAGUUUAAUAUAUCCAUUCUCUAUUUAAAGCAUUUGAUGACUGCUUUUGAAGGAUUGUCAUUGCUACACAGAAAAAUUGUCGUCAAUAGCCAAGGGCCCAUUAGAUCAAGGGACAUUAAAAUACAGUGACAGGAACACUACCAGAUAUAGUAUACUGAUAGAGAGAUAGUACCAGCCCAGGUUAACUCAACCAAGCCGUGAAACAAUGACAACAGGGCCAGGUGAAUCAUUACGGGACACGCUCCAGUGAUCGCGUGGCUACUCUGGGGUGUAUUGGGUAGAGAGAUCGGAAACUGGACAUUUAACAUCUGGAAGUCAGUAAUGAUCAUUAUCAUGAAUUAAGGCUUCUCUGUAUAUACCUAUGUGCCUUUUAGGAGAAAUGGCCAGUUGAGUAAGAGCCAUCAAUGUGUCACCUUAAGAAAUUUCCAAAGGAGUUCCCUGUGAUUUUUCAUUUUCAAUUUCUUUUUUUUUUGGCUCCUGAGGGAUUUGAGAGCUGAAGUUUCGCACCAGGGGAUAUAGUUUGUUCUGAAUUAGUGCAAGGAUUUUCGUACAACCAGAUGUAAACUAAUUAAAUUAAGUUAAAACUUGAGGAUUUUUUGUGUUUGCAAACUUUAACACUAGUCAUGAAGUCUGGCAACAUUAAAGUGUGUUUUUUUGGAACCGUGCUUCUAGCCUGCAUUAAUUUCAUUUUCGGACAAGAUGUGGUGUAUCAUCUACUGGAGGGGGACCAGUUAGGUAGAACUGUCGGAAACGUCGCGGAGGCUGCCAAGUUAAUUGACAUUGUAGGAGAAGGGGACUUCACUCAUCUCAGAUACAGCUUCUUAACAACGGGAACACCUCAUUAUACCAGUUUUAACAUUCACAAUCAAUCCAGCUUAUUGACAACAAAUCAGGCCAUUGACCGUGAAACACUGUGUGAAUUUACCAACAUAUGUUUUAUAAAAUUAAACAUAGCCGUCCAGUCCCUGAAGACAAGCUUCUUUAAGAAAGUGACCGUUUAUGUGUAUAUUGAUGACAUUAACGAUAACCCUCCAGUUUUUGACAAACCUUCCAUCGAUCUUUUGAUUUCCGAAUCUGUCCUCGUCGGAACUUCUAUUACAAUAGAUGGAGCUCGUGAUGCGGACACCAGUGACAUCUACUCGUUACAAACUUACGAAGUCAUGCCCAAUAACACACCAUUUGAAAUUAACUUUCAGAAGAAGUUGGACGGCACAUCAAUCGUCAAGUUAUUUGUCAGAGAGGCAUUAAACCGAGAACAAAGAGACAAUUAUCUGUUCAACGUAGUUGCCAGAGAUGGGGGAUCACCCCCUCUUAAUGGUACACUCAGAGUCAAUAUCACUAUCACUGAUGUUAACGACAAUUCUCCAAAAUUCUCCCAAUCCACUUAUUACAUUGAAGUCAAAGAAAAUGUCAAUCUAUCAACAGUAAUUCUUACUAUCAGAGCCACUGACCUGGACGAUGGAAAAAACGGACGAGUCUUCUACCGCCUUAGUCCUCACCAGUCUGAGACUAUUCUAACCUCUUUUGCUGUAGACAAUACCACUGGGGACUUAACAGUGAUAAAACCACUGAAAUAUGUCAAAGGGGAAAAACAUGUUAUAAUUGUGGAAGCUAGUGACUUUGGGGACCAGCCUCUCACAUCUCAAGCUCUGGUCAACGUUACAGUGCAGGACGUGGGUAACAACCCUCCGUCUAUCAACCUCAACCUCUUGUCGUCAGAUUCUCUCGCCCGCGUCUCAGAGUUUGCCAGCGAGGGGACUGUGGUGGCACACAUCGCUGUUGAUGAUCCCGACACUGGGAAAAAUGGAGACAUCUAUUGUAACAUUAAUACUCCUGCCUUCAAGCUACAGCGACUCGAAAACAAGGAGUUCAAGGUGACAGUUGAUCAGGGCCUGGACAGGGAGCUCUACCAGCAAAUCCAUGUAACAGUGUUCUGUAGAGAUGAUGGCAGCCCAUUUCUAAACACCUCUGCUAGCUUCUAUGUGGAAAUCGAGGAUGAAAAUGACAAUGCUCCCGUGUUUGACUUAUCUGUAUAUACAGCUGGAAUCAUGGAAAACAAUAAUAUUGGUGACGUCAUUGUCCAUGUUCAAGCAACUGAUGGAGACCAAGGAAAAAAUGCUGAUCUUCAAUACAACCUUAGUGAAAGUAAUAAUGGCAUGUUCUACAUUGAUGAGAAGAGUGGAAUUAUUCGCACAUCUGCGAGACUUGACCGAGAGAAUACGUCCUCAUACUCUGUUGUAGUGAUCGCGCGAGAUCAAGGUGUUCCACCGCUGUCUGGAUCCGCCACUGUCAUCAUCUCAGUCCUCGACAAGAACGACAACAAACCCGCAUUUAAUCAAACCCGCUACACAUUCUCAGUAGAUGAAAACGCUCCCGCGGGAUCACACGUGGGAAUUCUGUACGCAACUGAUAAUGACGAGGGGGAGAAUUCAGUUAUCACCUUCACUGGACCAGAUUCAGUUCCAUUCACAAUAUUUCCAGGAGGUUACAUCAAAACCGACCGUGUUUUAGACAGGGAGGUCCAGAAUCGUUAUGAGUUUAUUGCAGAAGCCAAAGACAAUGAUCAUGUGACCACUACAGUGGUAACAAUCAACCUUAAUGACAAAAAUGACAAUAAUCCAGUGGUUACCUCCCCUAGUCAUAUUAACAACACCAUUUAUGUCGAUAAGCAUACAGUGGUAAACAAAAUGGUAUUCGUCAUCAGAGCAUAUGAUAUGGACUCUGGGAUUAAUUCAAAUCUUAUUUUUGAAAUCGUUGGGAGAAAUGACUCUGGACAUUUUCACUUGCACCCUGACAAAGGACAAUUAUUUCUGAAGCGCAGUCUAGAGGAUAAUGUGGGUAAAUCCUUCAGACUGGAUAUUCUCGUCUCAGACAUGGGAAACCCUGUACUCUCUACACCAGCCACUCUAAACAUCAGGAUUCUGAGCUCUAACACUGCGCCGCUGGAGAGCAAGUCCAGCAAUAUCAUCAUAGUAGCUAUACUGGUGUCUGUGACAAUCAUCAUCUCAUUAGCCAUAAUCAUUGUCAUAGUCUUCAUCAGAAGAAGUGAUAGGCAGCGGCGAAGUAAAAGGCCGGACAAUGAAAACUUUUAUAAGGGUGUGCUGGAAAACUCGGCUACAGUUUUUGCAGCUCCCAGCGAGGAAUCCAUAUCAGAGAAAAAGAAAAAGAAAGGGGUCAGCUUCUCACUGGAGAAUGGUGUGGACAAAGUGUCAGAGGUCACCAGUCAGGGUCAAGAGUUCACCUACGAUAACGACAUGGAGCGGAAGGUGGAGGACCUUCACAGUUUGGGGUCAGCCAGCGACAGUGGGCGAGGGGGAUCGGACGACGAGCUCAACACCUCACGUAACCAUAACUCCUCAGGUGACAUUCAUUCCACGAAAAAAGACUGGUACCAUCCCCACCAAAGAAACUACAAUACCCCCCUGCAGACAUUCCUACCUCAGAAUAACCCCCCUUCCUACCACCCCCUCCCCCACCCCGGGGGCAGUCAAACCAGCCACCACAGUUACCAGUAUUCAGAUCCAAUGCAGCCGGGAUCUUCUGGUGAUCACCCAAAAUCGUACCAUGGGAGAUCAGUGUCGUUUGAUACAAACACUUCCAUAGGACUGAAUCAAACCAAUGGACAGUCACCGGACUGUGUGGUUUGACCCAGGACACUUCUGCAUAAUGAUUUGCAAUGAGUGCUAUAUAAUUGACACCCAAUUGGAUGUGAUUUUUUUUGAGUUUUCAAAUUUUAGAAUAAUUCAGGGGUAAUUCAUACCUUUGAUACCAGAUUCUACAAAGAAAAACUCUUGUACAUGACUGCCAAACUGUUUAGUUGAGAGAGUCCCAGGGUUAAAUUUCAGCAGAUUUAGAUAAGAGAAACUGAGACAAUUGAAUUGGCUGUGAAAAUCUGAAGAGAUGACAGAGAGAAGCUCCUGUAACCUGUGGAUUCAGAGAGAAGGAAUGCUUGUAGACUCUGUAAACUCUACUUGAUGUACUCAGGAAAUGAAGAGGAUUCUAACAGCAUUAAUUCACAGAAUUCAGACCAGCGAGCCUUCAGACCCAUGACAGAGGAAGCUUUCCUGUAUAACUAGUAACUUAUUUUGAAGAUCAUAAAUCUUCCUGGCUUGUCAAUUGAAGGGGGAUAACCCUGAAAUAUGAUCUCAGUUUUCAAAGGACAGACACAAUACAUAUUGGUGCCAAACUUUUGAUAAUUCGUUUAUUUUGUUGUAUAUUUAAUGUUAAUAUGUGAGGAAAAUGAUGAUGUGAAUGUGUACAAUUGUAUUCAAUGAGAGCAUUUCCUAUGACACGAUAUGUAGAUAUGUAUAUAAAUGUGAAAUGUUUAUAUUUUACAGCUGAUUGAAUGAUUUUCUGUAUGAUAUAGGAAGUGUGUAACUGCAAAAUAUGGCAGCAUGAUUUUAUAGCCUGCCUAUGUGAUGAUAAUAAUAAAAUAUUUCUAAAAACUU